UCCUGGGUGGCUCAGUGGUAAAGAAUCUGCCUGCAGUGCAGGAGGCCCAGGUUCAGUCCCUGGGUUGGGAA
rnacentral:tRNA from 1 species